UACGAAGGGGGCUAGCGUUGCUCGGAAUUACUGGGCGUAAAGGGCGCGUAGGCGGCCUUCUAAGUCAGACGUGAAAUCCCCCGGCUUAACCUGGGAACUGCGUCUGAUACUGGAGGGCUUGAGUGCGGGAGAGGGAUGUGGAAUUCCAGGUGUAGCGGUGAAAUGCGUAGAUAUCUGGAGGAACACCGGUGGCGAAGGCGGCAUCCUGGACCGACACUGACACUGAGGCGCGAAAGCUAGGGUAGCAAACGGG
rnacentral:rRNA from 1 species